rnacentral:rRNA from 1 species
CGGGCGCGGCGCCGGUCUAAGUCCCUUGGAACGGGGCGUCAUAGAGGGUGAGAAUCCCGUAUGUGACCGGCGAUCAAGCCCAUGUGAAACUCCUUCGACGAGUCGAGUUGUUUGGGAAUGCAGCUCAAAUUGGGUGGUAAAUUUCAUCUAAAGCUAAAUACCGGCCAGAGACCGAUAGCGCACAAGUAGAGUGAUCGAAAGAUGAAAAGCACUUUGGAAAGAGAGUCAAACAGUACGUGAAAUUGUUGAAAGGGAAGCGCUUGCAACCAGACCUGUCCGUGGGCGAUCAGCCGUCCUUCUGGGCGGUGCACUCGCCUGCGAUCAGGCCAGCAUCGGUUCGGGCGGCCGGAUAAAGGCCUUGGGAACGUAGCUCCUCUCGGGGAGUGUUAUAGCCCUCGGUGCAAUGCGGCCAGCCUGGACCGAGGACCGCGCUUCGGCAAGGAUGCUGGCGUAAUGGUUGUAAGCGGCCCGUCUUGAAACACGGACCAAGGAGUCUAACAUCUAUGCGAGUGUUUGGGUGUUAAACCCAUGCGCGGAAUGAAAGUGAACGGAGGUGGGAACCCUUCGGGGCGCACCAUCGACCGAUCCAGAUGUCUUCGGAUGGAUUUGAGUACGAGCAUAGCUGUUGGGACCCGAAAGAUGGUGAACUAUGCCUGAAUAGGGUGAAGCCAGAGGAAACUCUGGUGGAGGCUCGCAGCGGUUCUGACGUGCAAAUCGAUCGUCAAAUUUGGGCAUAGGGG